rnacentral:rRNA from 1 species
AAAGUCGUAACAAGGUUUCCGUAGGUGAACCUGCGGAAGGAUCAUUAUUGAUUGCGAAUCGUUGUCUUCAGUGCUGGCCAGCUCUGGCAAGUGCACGUUGGCGGCUUUUCAUCCAAUACCCCCUGUGAACCUUUGGCCUCUUGCUAGCUUUGGCUGGCAGAGGAUUUUUACACCCACUCGAAUGUAAUGAAAUUAUUGUUGUGCGCAAGCACUACUGUACAACUUUCAACAACGGAUCUCUUGGCUCUCGCAUCGAUGAAGAACGCAGCGAAAUGCGAUAAGUAAUGUGAAUUGCAGAAUUCAGUGAAUCAUCGAAUCUUUGAACGCACCUUGCACCCUUUGGCAUUCCGAAGGGUAUGCUCGUUUGAGUGUCAUUGUACUCUCACACUUCUGAUCCUUUUGGAUUGGGAGCGGUGGACUUGGGUGUUGCUGCUUUACUGCGGCUCACCUCAAAUGCAUUAGUGCAACUCUUGGUUGGACAUAGUACGGCGUGAUAAGUAUCUUCGCCGGCACCUCGCAAGAGGGUGGCUGAUCAGGAGCUCUGUGCUCUCCAACUGUCUGCGGACAACAACUGACAACUUGACCUCAAAUCGAGUAGGACCACCCGCUGAACUUAAGCAUAUCAAUAAGCGGAGGAAAAGAAACUAACAAGG